UUGGAGGGCAAGUCUGGUGCCAGCAGCCGCGGUAAUUCCAGCUCCAAUAGCGUAUAUUAAAGUUGUUGCAGUUAAAAAGCUCGUAGUUGAAUUUCGGGGUCAGUAGGCUGGUCGUGCCACAGGUAUGUACUGGUCUUACUGAUUCCUCCUUCCUGAUGAACCGUAAUGCCAUUAAUUUGGUGUUGCGGGGAAUCUGGACUGUUACUUUGAAAAAAUUAGAGUGUUUAAAGCAGGCUAACGCUUGAAUACAUUAGCAUGGAGUAAUGAAAUAGGACGAUCGAUCCUAUUUUGUUGGUUUCUAGGAUUGACGUAAUGAUUAAUAGGGAUAGUUGGGGGCAUUAGUAUUCAAUUGUCAGAGGUGAAAUUCUUGGAUUUAUUGAAGACUAACUACUGCGAAAGCAUUUGCCAAGGAUGUUUUCAUUAAUCAAGAACGAAAGUUAGGGGAUCGAAGACGAUCAGAUACCGUCGUAGUCUUAACCAUAAACUAUGCCGACUAGGGAUCGGAUGAUGUUAAUUUUUUAAUGACUCAUUCGGCGCCUUACGGGAAA
rnacentral:rRNA from 1 species